rnacentral:misc_RNA from 1 species
GCUCAGGACGCCACGGAAGUAUUUUUAUUAUUCAAAGCAUAUAAUGGUAAAAUAAUAAUAAAUUGAUGAUGUAAGACAACAUUCUUCCCUAAUGGACCGUUUAUCUCAUUGGUCGUCACGGGUGACCACCGUGGCGCCUUGGUAACAAUUGAUAGUGACAUAUUAUAACAAGGCUUCGUUUAUUUCAACAAACCAUUCGCAUUCGUUAUUUCGUCGUAAGCAAAACGUGCAGAAUAUAUUGUUGAAACGUGUAGAAGAUAUUAGUAAACAGUAUUUGCUCAUUCUAUAUAUAAUAGUAAGAUUACCCCCCAAAGAUAUGGAUGCAAACACAGUGCACCGUUAGAUGCAAGAUUUGUUCUCAUUUUUUUUUU